rnacentral:rRNA from 1 species
GACGAACGCUGGCGGCGUGCCUAAUACAUGCCAGUCGAACGAACCGCGACUAGGUGCUUGCACUUGGUCAAGGUGAGUGGCGAACGGGUGAGUAACACGUGGGUAACCUACCUCAUAGUGGGGGAUAACAGUCGGAAACGACUGCUAAUACCGCAUAGGACAUAGGAUCACAUGAUCCAGUGAGGAAAGGUGGCGCAAGCUAUCGCUAAGAGAUGGACCCGCGGUGCAUUAGCUAGUUGGUAGGGUAAAGGCCUACCAAGGCGAUGAUGCAUAGCCGACCUGAGAGGGUGAUCGGCCACAUUGGGACUGAGACACGGCCCAAACUCCUACGGGAGGCAGCAGUAGGGAAUCUUCCGCAAUGGACGCAAGUCUGACGGAGCAACGCCGCGUGAGUGAAGAAGGUCUUCGGAUCGUAAAGCUCUGUUGUUAGAGAAGAACAGCGCAUAGAGUAACUGUUAUGCGUGUGACGGUAUCUAACCAGAAAGCCACGGCUAACUACGUG